rnacentral:rRNA from 1 species
CAGCAGUCGCCACGGGAAUACGAAGGGGGCUAGCGUUGCUCGGAAUUACUGGGCGUAAAGGGAGCGUAGGCGGACAUUUAAGUCAGGGGUGAAAUCCCAGAGCUCAACUCUGGAACUGCCUUUGAUACUGGGUGUCUUGAGUGUGAUAGAGGUAUGUGGAACUCCGAGUGUAGAGGUGAAAUUCGUAGAUAUUCGGAAGAACACCAGUGGCGAAGGCGACAUACUGGAUCAUUACUGACGCUGAGGCUCGAAAGCGUGGGGAGCAAACAGGAUUAGAUACCCGCGUAGUCCCUGUCUCUUAUAC